GUGGAGUUUGGGAAAGUUUGCUUAAGAUCUGUGGCUCAUUAUUGGCGGCAUGGGAGGGUUAUAUAGCAAUGGAAAUUGAGUUGAACCAUAUAAAUAAUGCCAGAUCCAUAUAUAAGAGAUGUUACAGCAAAAGAUUUCCAGGGAGUGGUUCAGAGGAUAUUUGCCAUUCUUGGUUGCGUUUUGAGAGGGAAUAUGGUAGUCUCGAAGAUUUUGAUCAUGCUGCUCGAAAGGUUAACCCUCGUCUGGAAGAGUUAAAGUCCUAUAAGUUACAGAUGGAUGAGUCAGAAAAUCCUGUAAAGCAGACUGAUCAUGGUAAGC
rnacentral:misc_RNA from 1 species